CUUUCUUUUUAAAUGUUUAUGGUAGAAGAACAUCAAGUAUAGUUGUCAACAGACUUCUUAAUAUUACUGGUUGUGCCUGUGCCUCCAAAGCAUGGAUUUGAUAGCUCCAAUAUUGUAAUCUAAAUUUCCUGGGCAGCUGUCCAGAAGAAUGUCCUGCAUCUUGGGCAAUGCCCCCACUGCUGGAUAGAUUGCUGUUGACAGCUUUUGACCAGAGGGAGCCAUUAGAUUUUGCUGGCUAGCAAACAAUUACAGCUUUGAUAUGAGCUACAAGGCUCUACCUCUCCCCUGAGUAUUAGAAGUCUGAAAAGAAGAGCUGUCUCCAUGAAGAUGGGCCAAAUGCCCUCCCUCCUGUGGCUGAUUGUGCUACAUCAUCCCAACAUGAUAAACCAGAAAUCUUUGAGUGAGUUUAACUUCCUAUCCGUCCCUGAUCCUGCAACACCCAACUAGUCAUAUAAUUUGUGCAUUACUUAUAUCCAUCCCCUAGCCAACCUGUUGAGGUUUUGUAACAAACUCUUUGCCCAAGGCCUGUCCCCUUAAAAAUCUGUGACAGUAUUUUCAAACUGGUACUUCUGCAACAUGUGCUUAACUAUUUCUUUCUUUUUCAUAAAACCACUGUCCUCUUUUUCACAGCAUUGUGAAGUCAGCAUGUGAUGGUCAUAAGAACACAAGACUUGGGGAAGGUGACAAGCCAGGGUUUAUAUUGAUGCUCUCCAUUGUUAGCUACAUAGUCACAGAAAGUAGCUGACUAUGUUUGAAAGGCAGGUAUUAAAAACAUUACUUUAGGGGAAAGAGGUAUAUAGGUUUUACGUGUCACCACAGAAGGCAAAACUAGGACUUCCUGAUAGAUAUGAUAGGAGUAUAUAUUUUCAACGUAAUACACUGAAAAAUCUUCAUUGAAGCAACUUCAAAAUGAAAUUUAAUGUUUUAUGAAACACAAUUUCUUCAUCCUUAAAUGUAUUUUAGUAGAGAAAAUGUGACUACGAGUUAAAGAAAGAAAUGCAUGUAUCAGAUGAGAAAGAAGGGAGGUUGCAUGAGGAAGCAGCAAAAGAUGUUUCCAAUCUGAGAUUUUCAAAUUCUCUAGUUUUAGUUUAAUUGAAUUGGCUUAAAUUAAACUCUCAUUCAAGUAUAUUUUAUACUUGAAUUUCAGGACUAUAUUCGUUUAUAGAAACAAAGUGUACUAAAUGUAAAACUUCUUUAUCAAAUGGAUAUAUACUAUAAAAUAACUUUCAAACUUAAUUUGUGUAGAAUUUGUACUUGGAUUUAGGGAUGUAUGAGCCAAUAUUAUGUUUAAUUCUUUAGUGGUUGAGAAAAUUUUAAUACAUUUCUUGGGGAAUCUAUACGCAUGUACAUACACAACAGAUUUUGUGAUAAUUCUGUACAACUAUCUACUGCUCUACUUUUCUCAUUGUUCCCAAAUACUGAAAAAUUCAGAACAUUAUAUUUUCUUUGAAAUGAAUAGAUUAUUUAUCAAAGAAAUUACACUAUUAAUCUUAGAGUUUCUAUAGUGAUUCAAACAUCAUUUACAUUUAUUUCAUUUAUAUUUAUUUACAUUUAUAUUUACAUAUACUUCAAGAGAGUUUUCUUUUGAAAUAUAUGUUUUUCAGAAUCUAAACAAUUUUUGUCCUUGAAAAAAUUUGUUGUUGUUGUUUUGAAAUAAUGUUUUUGUUUCAUUUAGGCCUAAAUGUAAGGAGAUAAAUUGCUACAAACGCUAAUGGUCUUUUUUAUGAUGUGAAUACCUGUCCGUGUGAUUGAGACCACCAACCAAUUUCCUAUAAACCAUCAAGCAACAUCAUGUGUUAACAAUUUUCGGUUGCUUUUAAUCUGGUUUGGAUUCAAAAUGGUAAAACAGAGGUGAAAGGUCGGAUUUAAAAAAAAAAAGAAGAAAUUCUCCUGGGCUAGCCAGCCUUUUGAAUUUUCUGAAUUUAAGUUAAUUAUAUCAUUAGAAUUUAAUGAAAUUAUCAACAUGUUCACCUUCAUUUCACAGUAACACUUCCCUGUUCAGAUUAGAAUCAAUCUUUUAAUGUUUAUCUAGGUGUUGAUAAAGAGAACUACAGAGCACCUAGUGCUUUUUUAAGACACUUCAUUAUUAGAUUUUGAAGUGAGACCAUAAUUUAAGAUUUGGUGAGGGAAAUGUUUUUUUUAAUGGUAAAUGAACAAUAUUUUUGUUAUGUUCUUUUGGAAUUUGCAUUUAAAAUUUACUCACUGGUUAAAUAUUCAUCUCAAUGCUGCAGUGUUAAUUUUUGACCUGAGUGUUAUUAUAUUUUUAUCACGCUUAUUUGUAAAAUUAAGAAAAUAUUUAAUAUUAAGUAGUUUAAUAAAAUGACUAUUUCUUUUAACCAAUAUAAAUAUAAGAUAAAUAUGUCUUCUAAACUUUCAUAUAUGGAUAACCUUUUGAACUUAGAUUCCAAAAAGUGAGGAUAAAUUUAUAACUAUAUUACAGGUUUCAUACUUCACAUAUUAUUAGUGUUUUUAGAUUAUCUUACCAAAAUAGAUGAUUCUGUGAAGGGCUUAAUGGCUCCAGCUUAACUUUAUGAACUUAGUCACUUUUAAAAAAAAAAUUUAAAAAUUUUUAGUCACAUUUUUAUUAUUGUAUGUUGCUUUCUCUUGUCAUUUUAAAAUUUAUUUAUUAAAUAACAGAAAAGUUUAGAUAAAUAUUAAUGGAAUGUGACAUAAAAGUGAUCAAGAUGAAAGAUAACAGUAUUUGUAACAUUUGUUUAUUUUUCAGAUGAUACUAAAUGAAGUAAUUAAUUACAGGGAUAUAAAUUUCAAAAAAAAUAUUAAAUAGGCUCUUGGAUUUUUUACAAUCUAUUUAAUAACAGUAAUGAAAUGUGAACACUUUUUAAAAAUUUUAAAUGGCAAUUUGAUAAAAAAUGCAUUGGUAAAGAGACUAUACAAAUCAGAAUACACCUCAAAAGAAGGACAACCAUAAGUAUUUCAUGAUUUAAUAAAAAUAUAAGUUGAAAUACUUAAAUCUUAAAAUUAAAAACAACUUAUAAUCAACUAUGAUCAAUUGUGAUCAUUCUCUUCUACUAAGAUGAUAAAGGUGACCUUUAUAGGUUUUACAGCUGUUAAAUAUUUGUAUGUUUGGCAUUUUUUUUCUCUUCAAAAAAUCCUUUAACACCCAAAGUUGUAUUUAUAAUUUUAUCCUCGCUUUAUCUUAAAGAGGAUAAAAACAUUUUUUAAGCUUCAGGCUCCACAAAACUUAGAUCAUCUCCUUUGUUCAAAGUAAUACUGGUUAAGAAAUAUUUAAAAUUCACUCAGAUGACGAAUGGUUUAAAUUUCUAAACAAGAAGGAAUUACAAUCACUUUGGCUUUGUUUUACAUUCUUCCUCCCCUUCCAUUUUCAUCUCUGCGCAGUGCUAAGCUGUCUAAUGCAAAGCCUUCUCUAACUGUGCAAUCAGAAAAAGGUUUGCAUAUGUGGAAUGAGAAAGUUCAUAAAUACCAACAAAAUGUCUCAGCCCAAUUUCUGAGACAAGAGAUUCUUAUGAUAGUCAUUAUUUCCUAUUUAUUUUAUUCCUUCAAUGACACAUUGUUUAUCAAUAUAACUAACUUGAAACACAAUUUCAACUCUGCCAACUGACUUUUGCUUUGGAAGAUAAAUUAAUCUGUAAUUAACAGAAAAUCCAAAAUAAGUGUGGCUUAAGCAAUAGAAAAGUUUAUAACAUUCUGAAUUAAUUGUAAGCAGUCUAACACUGGUCUUGAAGCCCCACAUUAUCAGGAAUGCCAGCUCUUUCUCCUUUUAUGAUCUGUUGAUCACAAUAUACAGUUUCUACAUCAUUUUCUAAGGCAGCUCCUCAAGUAAAUGCCUGAAGUAAGAAAAAACAUGGUAGUAACAGAUUCCUCCUUUAAGACACUUCCCGGAUAUUCCACAAGGCACUUCUACUUAUAGGUCAUUGGUCAGAAUCGUGUUACAUGGAAAAUGAAUUAUUUAUCCUGAGUGUCCCAGGGCAUAGCUAACCUCCAGCGGUUAUAUAAGAUGUCCAUGCCGUAUAAACUACGUUAUGUUUGUAACUACCGUUUUCCAGUUCAUUAUCUUUAUUGUGGCUAUCUAAUAAUUUGAAAGUACCAUGCUCAAUUCUUGUUACUGCACAGUUUCCAUUUGUAUAGAAAUGAAUAAAUUAUUGGUGUCAUUCACAGUACCACAUCCUAAUUCUUAUGAAAAUCCAGAUACCAUUGAUAAUCUUUGCAGUAAGCAUGCAAAAAUAUGUAAACUGCUCUUACCAAAGCAAUCUGAAAGCAUAAUUUUUGUGACAAGAAUAAUAACUGUGUGAGAAAUAAAAGCAUUAAUUUUUCAGUGUUUCCAAUUCAG
rnacentral:lncRNA from 1 species